UUGAAUAAUGUCCGAAAAAAAUUAUUAAGAUUAAGUUUGAAAAUAAAAAUGAUAACAUUUUUAAAGAUCAGAUAAGUUUUACGGCGUAAAUCCUUGAUUCCAAAUAAUAAAAUUUUUGGAUAGACAAUAAAAAUCUGGACCAUCUCAUCAUUUCUGUUUUUUCCAUUAAAAAAUGAAAAUUCUAUUAUUCGAUUGGAGUCCACCACCAAUACCUAGAUCUUGAAUUGUGGAUAUGAAAAAAAAUUUGGUAAUAUAAAGACUCAAUUCUUACUACAAAAAAAUUUCCUAAGUUUUGUAAUGCUUACUCUAAAACUAUUUGUUUACACGAUAGUGGUAUUCUAUCUGACAGGUGAUGAGUCAUUUAUUGACUAUUUUAAUAUGCUUUUUAGUUUAGUUUUAUUUAGAUUUUAUUUGAUUUUAUAUUAGUAUUAUUUCCUUUUUAGGAUAGUUUACUUUAAAUUGCAUUUUAUUAUAUUUCAGGAAUGAAUAUUGGAUGGAUUGAGUCUUGGAGCAAAAGAAAGGGACUUGGAGCCGAUUGGAUGCAAAAUAUGAAGAUUGAGAGACAAAAAUAUGUCUCCCCCAAGUCAGAAGCUUGGCACGGCCGUGCCACCCUCCAGAGUCACUUUUGCUGCUUUUGCUUAGAUUUUAAGCUACUCUAUUUUUAGCCCGAAUGUAAUAGCUUAGAUUUUAAGUCGAACAAAUGCUAUAAAUAGAGUAGCCAUCCAUCACAAAUAUUCAUCUUUACUUGGAAUACAAUAAGUGACAAUUGCUUUUCUAAUUAAAGUUCUUUUCUUUUCCCUUUAUUUUCAUGUCAUUUACCUUUAUGCUUUCUCUCUUCUCCCCCAUGUCUAUGAUGAACAUGAGUGAGUAGACUUCUCCUUGUCUUGGGAUUGUUGGAUAAGUCUAAAUGACAUAAUCCUAAUCAAACCAAGCUCUAAGCCUUAAUCUUAUGUAACCCAAAUUUCUUAUCUGAAUUCACCGCUUUAACAUGGAUCAACCAUUAUCAAACUGUGGAAACGAAAGUGAAGGGUUUGAUAAUUGUUUAUCCAUUAUUCCAAAUAUCAAUUCAUAAAAGGAAAGUGGAGCUUUGAUAUUCGAACAAGUGAAUUCAGACAAGGAUUGCAAAGUCAGCGAAAUAGGCUUUGCAAUCUUUGAGACAUAUAGUUUCGAUCUUCAAGGGAACUAAUAACAAUCAAGUCAGCGAAAUAGGCUUGGUUGUUAGAGGAACCAAAAUCUAAUAGUAAUCAAGUCAGCGAAAUAGGCUUGGUUGCUAGAGGAACAUAAGAGAAACUGUCUUGAGAAAUUAGGUCUAACAUAACAUUAUAAGCUUAUAGUUUUGGUUUGAGAAGGACUUGCUAUUUAGAUGAAACCAACGAUCCCAAGGCUCUUUUUAUACUAUUAACUUUCAACGCUUGAAAACCCCCAACUUAUAAUUCUUUUCUCUUCUAAUCAUCUCUAAAGGUUAAUUGAAUUGAACUACUCCAUGUCGGAACGAUACUCUUUUUACUACUUCGAUAGAACCGUGCACUUGCGGUUUUAUCUCAUCAAGUUUUUGGCGCCGCUUCCGGGGAGUAAACUAAUUUGAUUAACUCUUUCUUUGUGAUUAGAACUCUUUUCUUUUCCUCUUCUCUUCUAUUUUUCUUUCUUUUUAUUACCAAUUAACUUCUUGGGUUCUCAAUUUCUUAUGCGAAGAAGUAAAAGUCUCGGAGAAUUUAUUCCGGAGAUCGAAAGAGUAUGCUACUCCUUCAAUGGAAGAGCCACAAGCUAUUAUCGUGUACCCAACGGUUGAGGGUAAUAACUUCGAGAUCAAGCCUGCACUACUCCAUUUAGUGCAGCAAAAUCAGUUUUCUGGAUCACCCACUGAGGAUCCAAAUCUCCAUAUUUCUUCCUUCCUUAGACUCAGCGGCACCAUAAAAGAGAACCAAGAAGCCUUAAGACUCCAUCUCUUUCCCUUCUCCUUAAGGGAUAGAGCUAGCGCUUGGUUCCAUUCCCUAGAAGUCGGUUCCAUCACUUCAUGGGACGAUAUGAGGCGAGCACUCCUUGCCCGAUUUUUCCCCCCAUCUAAAACCGCUAAACUUAGAGAUCAAAUCAUGCGGUUCAAUCAAAAAGAUGGGGAGUCUCUCUAUGAGGCGUGGGAGCGUUUCAAGGAAAUGCUUAGACUUUGUCCCCACCAUGGCCUAGAGAAAGUGGCUUAUAGUCCACACGUUUUAUAAUGGCUUGUCAUAUACCACUAAGAUGUCUGUUGAUGCAGCUGCAUGAGGAGCUCUAAUGAACAAGAACUAUACAGAGGCUUAUGCCCUGAUUGAAGACAUGGCUCAAAAUCAUUACCAAUGGACCAACGAGAGAGCCGUCACCGCUCCUACUCCCUCUAAGAAAGAGGCAGGUAUAUACGAAGUCUCUGAAUAUAACCACCUUGCUGCUAAGGUUGAGGCAUUAACCCAAAAAUUUGAAAAACUUAAUGUUAAUGUUGUCGCACCUUCUUCUGCAUCCCCUCCUUGUGAAAUCUGUGGUAUAUCCGGUCAUAUCGGUGUUGAUUGUCAAAUAGGUAGUGCUGCCAAUACUGAGCAACUGAAUUACGCUCAAUAUAACCAAGGAAUGAGGCCAAAUCAAAAUUUUUACAAAAAUCCUCAAGGUUCCUAUGGACAAGCAGCACCACCUGGCUAUACAAACAACCAGAGAGUGGCUCAGAAAUCAAGUUUGGAGAUUUUAUUGGAAAACUGCAUAGCUAAUCAAAAUAAAAAUCUUCAAGAACUGAAAAACCAAACGGGAUUUCUGAACGACUCUCUCUCCAAACUCACUACCAAGGUUGAUUCUAUCGCCACACACACCAAAAUGCUUGAGACCCAAAUCUCCCAAGUGGCCCAACAAGUGGCCACCUCUUCUCAAAAAACAGGAGUCUUUCCUGGUCAACCUGAAACAAACCCCAAAGCUCAUGUCAACGCUAUUUUUCUUGGGGGUGGUAAGCUAGAAGAGACCGUUGCUAAAGCCAAAAGUGUCAAGGGAGAGAGUGUUAAGUGUCUAGGUAAGAAAGGUGCGAUAGAAGGUGAGAAACCGCUUGAUAAGAACAAAGCCCUUACACCAUUAAGGCUUACUAAGCUCGACUUGGAGGCUCAAUUCACUAAAUUCUUAAACAUACUUCAAAAAAUUUGCAUUAAGAUUCCCUUCGCUGAAGCUUUGUCUCGUAUGCCUCUAUACGCCAAGUUUUUAAAAGAAAUUUUUUCAAAGAAAAAGGCUAUAGAUCGUAAUGAAACAAUAGCUUUGACAAGGGAAAAUAGUGCGAUCAUCAAGAAGCCACCUACAAAGCUUAGAGAUCCAGGAAGUUUUGCGAUCCCUUGUAUGAUAGGGAGUGAAACCUUAAACCGAGCCUUAUGCGAUUUAGGAGCAAGUGUUAGUCUGUUGCCCUUACCCCUCUUUAAAAGGCUGGGGUUGGGAGAGUUAUAGCCUACCGAAACAACAUUGAAGUUAGCCGAUCGUUCUGAUAUCCAACCUGUCGGAUAUGUCGAACAUCCCUGUUAAAAUAGAAGGGAUAGACAUCCCAACUGAUUUCAUGGUGCUCGACAUAGAUGAGGACAAUGAGUGCCCUAUAAUCUUAGGACGACCCUUUCUCGCCACUGCGGGUGCUAUAGUAGAUGUUCAGAAUGGUAGGAUUGUUUUUCAAGUGAGUGAUGAGUUGAUUGGGUUUGAGUUGGAGAAUUAUAUGAAAGGUCCCGCUCUCUAUUCUUGUAACAUGGUUAAAGGUCAUGAUGUGAAAGAACGCUCAUUAGCACCAUCUACACAAUAUGACCUCUUUGAUCCCUUCUAAGGACACUUUCUUAUAACGUCAAGCUAAUGACUAUAAAGAAGCGCUUCGUGGGAGGCAACCCACGCAUUUAACAGCUUUUGUUUUGUUUUGUUGUUUUGUUUUUAAUUGUUUUGUAGGUAAUUAUCCGAAUAUGAUUCAAGAAAAGGGAAAAUUUUGAAACCCCGAUAUCCAGAACCUUGGCACGGCCCGUGCUCACACUGGCACGGCCGUGCCAGACCUCACCUUCCAAACACCUUCCAAAACUCCAGAAAGUAGGCACGGCCCGGGUAAGGUUGGCACGGCCGUGCCCGACUCCAGGUAAAGAUAAACCUCACCUUUCAUCUUCUUCUUCCUUCAUUCUUCACCACAAACAUCUCUCUACAUUCAAACUUUUCUCAAAAACCUCCAUAACCAUAACAAUCUCAAACCUCCAUAUCUGCCUCAACACAUCACCAAUUCACAAAAUUUCUUCACCCAAUCAACCACAAUCCACAUCUCAAUCAUAACCCUUCAAUCAAAAACAACUUUCCUCCAUCCCUACCAAAAAUCAUCAAAUUCGUAGCCCCCACUCACCUACCCAAAAACCCACACAUUCUUCACCAUUUCACCCAACCCAACUCCUAACAAUCACUCAAACACCAACCCCAUCACCCCACCAACCUUUUCCACCAAAAACAUUUCACAAAACCCAACCUUCACCCAAAACACCAAAGGUCAACCAAGGUUAAGGAUAAUGGCAUCUAGGAAAGGUGGAGCAAGCUCUUCCAGAGGACCACAAUCAAAGAAAAAAACGCAAGCCAAGAAUCAUGGCAUCCUCUUCAAGGACACCAAGCAAAGGGACAGGUAUAAAAUUCUUAUCUCUAAACCUUUGCAUCCUUGUCGAUAUCCUGAUCCUUAUACUUUAAGUGUGCUAGGACUAAGGGAUAGUGUGUUUAGCUUACUAGGAAAUUUAGGAUAGGUUGAUAUGCUUAGACCUAUGAAAGGUUUUGAAAAUUUCACUUUUGAAUUCCUAAGUUCUAUUGAAUUUACGAAGGAUAAAAUGAACUUUGAUAACCCCACCAUAGAGUCUCCUUCUGACUUUUAAAUAUGGAUUACGAGAUGUCCUUUGAAAAUUUUUGUUUAGAAAUGGACUUCGCAAAUGCGGGGUUCAUCCAUGCCUCUUGGAAUCCAAAUCUAAAGUCGGAAGACUAUGACCCCGCUCUCUUUUGGAAACGCAUUACCGGGCUAAGGCAAUAUAACCCUCGCAACAUUAAUAAGGCUAGUAACAUUCACAACCCAGUGCUUAGAUACCUCCAGAGAGUCAUGGCUUGUACUAUUUGGGCUAGAAAAGAGGUAGGAACAACUAGGACGGAUGAACUUUUUAUGCUUUGGGCAAUGCUUAGUAACAAUCCCGUUAAUACUUGUUUCUACCUACUUUAUUACCUUUCCUCCAUAGGAGCUAGACCUGACAAUAGAGCUGAGAUAGUAGUCGGUGGUAUCAUUACCUUCAUCGCUAGGAAGUUUGGAGUGGGUGAGGAAGAUAGGAUAAAUCCAAUUGAGGGCAACAAUAGGCUUAAUAUUGAAACUCUUUUUGCUAUGAACUUCAUUAAGAUUCACCCACCCAUUACUUAUGCACUUCAACUUCGCAUACCUCUUUUGUUUCUACUUCCUAACCCAUCUCGGACUAACCCCGAGGUGGAGGAAAAUUUGUUGUAUGUUGGUGAUGGAUUACAGGUACAUGAAGAGCAUAAUCAAGGUGACGAAGAAGGUGCACACAUACACCACGAAGAGGAACCCCAUGACCCUAACGACGUCAAUGAAAGAUGGGCAUGGAUCCAAACCGAGGUACAAAGGAUAAGCACCGAGCAACAAAGACAAGGUGUUGAAUUAUCCGGGCUAAGAAAUGAUGUCCUAAGGGGCAACCGCAUAUCCGAAGAAAAUAACCAAAUGCUUAGGAACAUGAUGCAACACUUCAACCUCCAAGGCCCUCCCUAUGGACCUCAAUAAAAAUGUGAGCUUUCCUCUUCCUCUUUUUCACCUUAUCUCUUCAAUCUCUAUCUCAUUCUUCUCCCUCUCCUUCUUUUUUUCUCUUUUAUCUUGAAUCAUUGAGGACAAUGCUUCUCCUAAGUGUGGGGGGAGCCUAAUAAAGUGUCUUUAGUCGUAGUGUUUCCAAACUCCCUUGAACUUUAUUCUUUUGUUUUGUUUCAUUGUAAAAGGCAUGGUUAAGUAGCUAAUUUUUAUUGAAAAUAUCAUGACACAAAAUUUUCAUUGUCUCCUCUUAUUUGGUUGAUUCUUGUACAUGAAAGCAAACUCUUGUGUUUUAAGUCUUCUUGAUAUACCCACAUCUUGUUUUAAAGUGAAUAAAAUUCUCCAAUGAGAAAAACACAAAGUUGCUUCCCUUGAGUAAAUGUAUGAAUAGGUAUUUUAAGGAAACGCGUUUUAAUCUUAGUGGUGCAUUAACCUUUUAAGAUUCUCAAAGUGCCAGUAGUAUAAGUUAGUAUAAGGGAGUUCAUAAAAAGCCAAAUUAAUUCCAAGAUCUCAUCAUUGAAUCUAGAUUGGGGAAGGAGGUAGGCCCUCCGACUUCCUACGUGAAGAUGAUUGUUAUCUUGAGAAAAAAACUUUAAAAAGCAUCAUUGAAUCUAGAUUGGGGAAGGGGGUAGGCCCUCCAGAGUAACUUUUGCUGCUUUUGCUUAGAUUUUAAGCUACUCUAUUUUUAGCCCGAAUGUAAUAGCUUAGAUUUUAAGUCGAACAAAUGCUAUAAAUAGAGUAGCCAUCCAUCACAAAUAUUCAUCUUUACUUAGAAUACAAUAAGUGACAAUUGCUUUUCUAAUUAAAGUUCUUUUCUUUUCCCUUUAUUUUCUUGUCAUUUACCUUUAUGCUUUCUCUCUUCUCCCCAUGAACAUGAGUGAGUAGACUUCUCCUUGUCUUGGGAUUGUUGGAUAAGUCUAAAUGACAUAAUCCUAAUCAAACCAAGCUCUAAGCCUUAAUCUUAUGUAACCCUAAUUUCUUAUCUGAAUUCACCGCUUUAACAUGGAUCAACCAUUAUCAAACUGUGGAAACGAAAGUGGAGGGUUUGAUAAUUGUUUAUCCAUUAUUCCAAAUAUCAAUUCAUAAAAGGAAAGUGGAGCUUUGAUAUUCGAACAAGUGAAUUCAGACAAGGAUUGCAAAGUCAUCGAAAUAGGCUUUGCAAUCUUUGAGACAUAUAGUUUCGAUCUUCAAGGGAACUAAUAACAAUCAAGUCAGCGAAAUAGGUUUGGUUGUUAGAGGAACCAAAAUCUAAUAGUAAUCAAGUCAGCGAAAUAGGCUUGGUUGCUAGAGGAACAUAAGAGAAACUGUCUUGAGAAAUUAGGUCUAACAUAACAUUAUAAGCUUAUAGUUUUGGUUUGAGAAGGACUUGCUAUUUAGAUGAAACCAACGAUCCCAAGGCUCUUUUUAUAUUAUUAACUUUCAACGCUUGAAAACCUCCAACUUAUAAUUCUUUUCUCUUCUAAUCAUCUCUAAAGGUUAAUUGAAUUGAACUACUCCCUGUCGGAACGAUACUCUUUUUACUACUUCGAUAGAACCGUGCACUUGCGGUUUUAUCUCAUCAACAGGACAAAGAAAUAGGAAGGGAUGGUUCUUUCAUUGCAUUGAUAGAAGUCUAACUAGAAAAAGAUCUCUCUAUAACUUUGAGAAGAGAAUCGUUGGUUUGACCGACGAACUACGUGGGAAAAUGGACCUUCUUUCCUUUCUUUGAUUUUCAGCAAGCAUUUUUUGAAAGUAACAAUUCUAUUUAUGAAGUUUGGUUUAGGAAAACUUGCUAGUCGCGGAUUAGUGCGUUCUGCGCCGCCGGCGG
rnacentral:lncRNA from 1 species